UGGACUUGAAGGCAAAAGUCAUUUUGUUGACCAGCGACUUCACUCCUCUUCCAUCACCUGAACCGUUUGGAGACUCGCCCUGCAGCCAAGGCAAACCCCAUGAGAAAGAGAACAUAUUAAAAAACAAAGUAUUCAUUAAUCAUUGGCCUUCAACAUCUAGCUUGAAGAAAGAACCAGUAAGAAUUCCAACUUAGAGCUACCUACGUUACAAAGAUAACACUGUCUGAAUCCAAGUGAAAAGCUGUGGCAAGGUGUCCAGCGUUGUACUGCUCUGCAGGUCGGCAAUCUACGACAAAAAACCGAACUCCAUCCUGCAAAAUUUUUA